GCAGGCCUAAUACAUGCAAGUCGAACGGUAACAUUGGUGCUUGCACCAGAUGACGAGUGGCGCACGGGUGCGUAACGCGUAUGCAAUCUACCUUUUACUAGAGUAUAGCCCAGAGAAAUUUGGAUUAAUCCUCUAUAAUAUCUUUUAAUUUCAUGAUUUUAAGAUUAAAGUUUUAACGGUAAAAGAUGAGCAUGCGUCCUAUUAGUUUGUAGGUGAGGUAACGGCUCACCUAGACUACGAUAGGUAGGGGCCCUGAGAGGGGGAUCCCCCACACUGGUACUGAGACACGGACCAGACUCCUACGGGAGGCAGCAGUAAGGAAUAUUGGACAAUGGACGAAAGUCUGAUCCAGCCAUGCCGCGUGCAGGAUGAAAGCCCUACGGGUUGUAAACUGCUUUUAUACAGGAAGAAACACUCCGACGUGUCGGAGCUUGACGGUACUGUAAGAAUAAGGAUCGGC
rnacentral:rRNA from 1 species